CAGCAGCCGCGGGAAUACAGAGGGUGCAAGCGUUAAUCGGAAUUACUGGGCGUAAAGCGCGCGUAGGUGGUUUGUUAAGUUGGAUGUGAAAUCCCCGGGCUCAACCUGGGAACUGCAUCCAAAACUGGCAAGCUAGAGUAUGGUAGAGGGUGGUGGAAUUUCCUGUGUAGCGGUGAAAUGCGUAGAUAUAGGAAGGAACACCAGUGGCGAAGGCGACCACCUGGACUGAUACUGACACUGAGGUGCAAAAGCGUGGGGAGCAAACAGGAUUAGAUACCCCAGUAGUCCCUGUCUCUUAUAC
rnacentral:rRNA from 1 species